rnacentral:lncRNA from 1 species
CUGUCUGAUGGGAGGAGUGCUUUCAUCUGCUUGUUUGCCGUCUGUGUAUGGUCUUUGAUGAUGUAUCUGUUAAGGCUUUGAGCUUUUGUUUGUUGACUUAUUGUUGAGGUUUAAGAAUUCUUUGUAUGUUUUGUAUAGCAGUCCUCUAUCAGAGGUGUCUUUGGCAAAUAUUUUCUCCCUGACUGUGGCUUGUCUUCUCAUUCUCUUGAUGUUGUCUUUUGCAGAGCAGACAGUCUUAAUUUUAAUGAAGUCUAGCUUAUCGAGUCUUUCUUCCAUGGGUCAAACAAACCUUUACUGUUGCAUCUAAAAAGUCAUUGCCAUGGCCAAAGUUAUCUAGGUUUUCGCCUAUGUUAUCUUAUAGGGUUUUUGCAGUUUUGCAUUUUCCUUUUAGGUCUGGGAUCCAUUUUGAGCUGAUAUUUGUGAGGGAUGUGAGCGACUGUCUUUGCUUUGUUGUGUCACCUUGGCUCCUUUGUCAAAGAUCAGGUGACUGUAUUUAUUUUGGUCUAUUUAUGGGGCUCUCUAUUCUCCCAUUGAUCUAUUUGUCUAUCCAUUCACCAAUACCAUACUAUCCCGAUUACUCUAGCUUCAUGAUAAGCCUUGAAUUCAGGUACUGUCACUUCUCAAAUUUGUUCUUCUCCUUCACUGCUGUAUUGGCUAUUUUUGGUCUUCUGUCUUUUCAUGUAAGUUUUAAGAUCUACUUAUUAAUAUCCACAAAUUAACUUGCUGGGAUUUUUAUUGGGAUUGUGUUGAAUCUAUAGAUUAAGAUGGGAAGAACUGAUGCCUUGACAAUAGCGAAUCUUUCUAUCCAUAAACAUGGAAUCUCUCUUCAUUUAUUUAUGUCUACUUUAAAAUUGUUCAUCAGAGUUUUGUGGUUUCCCUCGUAUAGAUCUUGUAUAUGUUUUGUUAGAUUUAUACUUAAGUAUUUCAUUUUUGGGGUGCUAAUGUAAAUGGUAUUAUGUUUAAAUUUCAAAUUGCACUUGUUCAUUGUUGGUGUAUAAGAAAGCAAUUGAUUUUUGUAUAUUAACUUUGUAUCCUGCAACCUUGCUAUAAUUGAUUUUUAGCGUCAGGAGGUUUUUGUCAAUUCUUUUGGAUCUCGUCCACAGUCAAUCAUGCCAUCUGCGAAAAAAGCUUGAGGAGAAGUCUGAUGUAAUUCUUAUCUGUGCUCCUUUAUAGGUAAGAAGUUUCCCCAACUCCAGGUUCUUUCAAGAUUUUCUCUUUGUCUUUGGUUUUUUUUGCCAUUUGAAUAUGCUCUGUCUAGGUGUAGAUUUUUAUUACUUAUCCUGCCUGGUGUUCUCUGCCUUUUGGAUCUAUAGUUUGGUUUCUGUCAUUAACUUUGAAAAUUCUCUGCCGUUAUCACUCAGAUAUGUCCUCUGCUCAUUCCUCUUCUUCUCCUUGUAGUGUUCUCAUUACAUGUGCCCUAAUACCCUUUGUAAUUGCCCAACACCUUUUGGAUAUCAUGUUCCUUUUCUUCCUUCUUUCCUUCCUUCCUCCCUUCCUUCCUUCCUUCCUUCCUAUUUCUGUCUUCCUUCCUUCCUUUCCCCCUUUCCUUCCCUUUUCUUCCUUCUUUCUUUCUUUCUUUGGCCGCACCCACAGCGUAUGGAAGUUCCUAGGCUAGGGGGGUCAAAUCGGAGCCAUAGCCACCGGCCUACGCCAGAGCCACAGCAACGCGGGAUCCGAGCUGCGUCUGUGACCUACACCACAGCUCACGGCAACGCCGGAUCGUUAACCCACUGAGCAAGGGCAGGGACCGAACCCGCAACCUCAUGGUUCCUAGUUGGAUUCAUUAACCACUGCACCACGAUGGGAACUCCUGGAAACGUUUUUGAUGGCCGCAGCCGAGAGGAGAGGGGCACAAAUGGAAUUUCAGCCAGGAAUGCUGCUCAGCGUCCUACAGUGCACUGAAGAGCCCCCCACAGUGAGGAAUGACUGGCCCCAAAAGUCUGCCAGGGGAGCCAAGUGAGAGCCCUACACUUCGCCCACUGAAGGUGCUGCAGCAUGCUGCUGAAUAUUAAGUAAGCGUUUUCCUUCACAUUAUCCAUGCUUUCCCCCAGGACUUCUCCCGACUGGGCUUUCAUGACCCCUCCUUCCUCCCACCCCUCCACAGGAACUGGAAGGUCCGUUCUUCUCGCUCAGGCUUUCUCGGCCUCGGUGCUGUUAGCAUUUUGCCGUGGGGGCGGUCCUGGCCUUGAAGGAUGGUUACAUGGGCAUCCCUGGCCUCCACCCGCUAGAACCCAGUGGUGCUCCCUCCCGCAUUCGUGAGAUUGUCACAUGUCCUCUCGGGGGCCAAGCCACCACACAUGAGAACCCCUGGCCAAGAUGAUAAAAAAUGAGUCCUGGAGCUCCCUUGUGGUGCAGCGGGUUAAGCAUCUUGGGUUCCCGCUGUGGCCCGGGUUCUGUCCCUGGCCCAGGAACUUACAUAUGCCAUAGGCAUGGCAAAAAAACCAAACCAAAACAAACAAAAACACUCCUGUUGGUGUUUUUGUAAGGUUCACAUGAAUUUUAUGGAUGAAGGAUAUUUGACGUCUUUGCCAUAUCAGAGCUGUCUAAGAACACAGUGUGCUUCUCCUGUUAGUAUUUAACUUUUCUGUGCACCCUAGUAGAGAUUUACUAUUUUAUUUCUGUAAAAACAUGCACAUUUUAAAAAGUUAAUUCCUAUAUGUCUUAUAAUUUUGGCUUCAAUUAUAAAUGGUAUAUUUCCUUCAUUAUAUUUUUCAACUUUUUUUUUUUUUUUUCUCUUUAGGGCCACACGCAGCAUAUGGGGAUUCCCAGGCCAGGGGUUGAAUCAGAGCUACAGCUGUUGGCCUCCGCCACAGCCACAGCAACACCAGAUCCGAGCUGCGUCUGCGACCUACACCACAGCUCAUGGCAGUGCCGGAGCCUUAACCCACUGAGAUUUGUUUCCACUGAGCCACAAUAGGAACUCCUCCACUGGUUAUUAUUUGUACAUGAAAACUAGUGAUUUUACUUCUUAGGUUAAUAACUGGCCACCAUACUGAUCUCUUUUGCUAAUUUUUCCUUAUUACUUUUAAAUAAAUUUAGGUUUUCCAAAAUGAAAACCUAAGUCUGGACAUUAUCCUUUUAGUUCUUUUUUUCCAGUUUUUGCACCAUUUAUUUCUUCUUUCUUUUGUGCAGUUGUGUUUACUUGGGAGACUCCCAAAAAACACUGUCCAAUCAGCGUAUGAUGGUGACAUCUUGUGUUGUUCCUUCUUCAAAAAAGUGCUAAUUAUCAAAUCU